GACGGAGGGGGCUAGCGUUGUUCGGAAUUACUGGGCGUAAAGGGCGCGUAGGCGGAUUAGUAAGUUGGAAGUGAAAUCCCGGGGCUUAACCUCGGAAUUGCUUUCAAAACUACUAGUCUAGAGUGAAGUAGGGGAUGAUGGAAUUUCUAGUGUAGAGGUGAAAUUCUUAGAUAUUAGAAGGAACACCGGUGGCGAAGGCGAUCAUCUGGGCUUCUACUGACGCUGAGGCGCGAAAGCGUGGGGAGCAAACAGG
rnacentral:rRNA from 1 species